rnacentral:lncRNA from 10 species
CCGUUUCCCACAAGCCCCCGGGGCAGGGACCUCGCCGGCGCAGUUGUCGGGCUGGGACUGCGCGGGUGCUGCGGUCCCCAUUCCUAAUUCAAAGGCUGCUGUCUAACUCCCAGUGAGAAAUGAGGAAAAACAAAUUGCAAAAGAUGAUUAGAGACUAUACUUUAUAGAGAACUCUGCAUAUUUACCAGGUUUUGCAAAAAAAAAUUUGGUAAGGUACAAUAUAUAAAAUAAGUGAGACUUGACGUGCCUUUUAAGAGAAGAAAGAUGCGUGAAGACUGUCCUGCACUUGGUGCAUUCAUAUGGUUUUUCUCCAGCAGAAACUUUCUUGUGCAGGAACUGAUGAGAAAGAAAUGAGUUCAUUAAAAACCAAGGGAAGGAAUGAUGCCAUCCUCACCUACUGAGGCCAGGUUCCGGAAGGUCUCCAGCAUCACAUCUCUGUAGAGGUCCCUCUGAGCAGAAUCCAGCAAAGCCCACUCCUCCAGGGUGAAGUCCACAGCCACAUCCUCAAAGACCACUGAGUCCUAAGACAAACCACACAGGUGUGCAGGAGGAUUGGAGACACUGAAAGUACUGGGGAACUGGACUCAAUUCAUAAAUUCAAACAAGAUUCUGUGGUGUCCCAACACCUCCUCUAUGACGCGAAUGUUAGAUCUUUUACUUAUUCACAAUCACUUCCUAGUAAACUUCAUGGCACCACUAUCAGUCUGAACUUAUCUCUGCCUUUUUACUGCGACUGCUCUUAUUUUCCUCUACCAGGAGGGUCUAGAGAAAUGCUAUGCAAAUGAAGUAACUUUUCCAUUUGAAACGUUGCAUAACGCAGCAGGCCUCGGUUGUCCAAACGAUGCACAUUUCAUAGGACUUUCGGAAAAGCCUUCCACCAGCUACUGCAGAAAAUGGUUGAGCACAGCAUCAUCAAUUACCCCACUUUUUAAUGAGAGAACAUCUAGGUGAAAUACGAGGAAAUAAAAUAAUUGAACACUAUAAGUCAUUUAGACAUAGCAGACAUCUGCAGAACACUGAACCCAACAACAGCAAAACACACAUUCUUCUCAAGUGCAGAAGAACGUUCUGUAAAAGAGACCCUUUGCUAGGCCAUAGAAGAAACCUCAACACAUUUUAAACAAUAGAAAUACAAAAUAUUGGCCGGAUUCUGUGACUGUAAAAACCAAUGGCCGGGCGCAGUGGCUCACACCUGUCAUCCCAGCACUUUGGGAGGCCGAGGAGGGCGGAUCACGAGGUCAGGAGGUCGAGAUCAUCCUAGCUAUCUCUACUAAAAAUGCAAAAAAUUAGCCGGGCGUGGUGACGGGUGCCUGUAGUCCCAGCUACUGGGGAGGCGGAGCUUCGAGUGCGCGCUAC